GAUGAACGCUAGCUACAGGCUUAACACAUGCAAGUCGAGGGGAAACGGCAUCGAAAGCUUGCUUUUGAUGGGCGUCGACCGGCGCACGGGUGAGUAACGCGUAUCCAACCUGCCCAUCACUUGGGAAUAACCUUGCGAAAGUAAGACUAAUGCCCAAUGACAUCCCACGAAGGCAUCCGAAUGGGAUUAAAGAUUUAUCGGUGAUGGAUGGGGAUGCGUCUGAUUAGCUUGUUGGCGGGGUGACGGCCCACCAAGGCAACGAUCAGUAGGGGUUCUGAGAGGAAGGUCCCCCACAUUGGAACUGAGACACGGUCCAAACUCCUACGGGAGGCAGCAGUGAGGAAUAUUGGUCAAUGGGCGAGAGCCUGAACCAGCCAAGUAGCGUGCAGGAUGACGGCCCUAUGGGUUGUAAACUGCUUUUAUAAGGGAAUAAAGUGGGUCACGUGUGACUUUUUGCAUGUACCUUAUGAAUAAGAACCGGCUAAUUCCGUG
rnacentral:rRNA from 1 species